rnacentral:tRNA from 1 species
AUUUAUUUAGUAUAUAAGUACCUUUGACUUCCAAUCAAAAAGAUUGAUAAAAAUCAAAAUAAAUA